GCCUGAGUGGCUCAGUCGGUUGAGCACUGGACUUCGGCUCAGGUCAUGAUCUCGCAGUUUGUGAGUUCGAGCCCCACAUCGGGCU
rnacentral:tRNA from 1 species